rnacentral:rRNA from 1 species
UUACGCGAAGACCUUACCUACUCUUGACAUCCCGCGAACUUGGUAGAGAUACCUUGGUGCCUUCGGGAACGCAGAGACAGGUGCUGCAUGGCUGUCGUCAGCUCGUGUUGUGAAAUGUUGGGUUAAGUCCCGUAACGAGCGCAACCCUUGUCCUUAGUUGCCAUCAUUUAGUUGGGGACUCUAAGGAGACUGCCGGUGACAAACCGGAGGAAGGCGGGGACGACGUCAAGUCAUCAUGGCCCUUACGAGUAGGGCUACACACGUGCUACAAUGGCAAGUACAGAGGGCCGCGAAGCCGCGAGGUGGAGCUAAUCUCACAAAGCUUGUCGUAGUCCGGAUUGGAGUCUGCAACUCGACUCCAUGAAGUCGGAAUCGCUAGUAAUCGCAAAUCAGAAUGUUGCGGUGAAUACGUUCCCGGGUCUUGUA